UGGGCAACCUGCCCUCAGCUCUGGGAUAACUCCAAGAAAUUGGGGCUAAUACCGGAUAUGACUGCUGACCGCAUGGUCUGGUGGUGGAAAAGAUUUAUCGGCUGGGGAUGGGCCCGCGGCCUAUCAGCUUGUUGGGUGGGGUAGUGGCCUACCAAGGCGACGACGGGUAGCCGGCCUGAGAGGGUGACCGGCCACACGUGGGACUGAGACACGGCCCAGACCUCCGUACGGGA
rnacentral:rRNA from 1 species